GACGAACGCUGGCGGCGUGCUUAACACAUGCAAGUCGAACGGAAAGGCCCUGCUUUUGUGGGGUGCUCGAGUGGCGAACGGGUGAGUAACACGUGAGUAACCUGCCCUUGACUUUGGGAUAACUUCAGGAAACUGGGGCUAAUACCGGAUAGGAGCUCCUGCUGCAUGGUGGGGGUUGGAAAGUUUCGGCGGUUGGAUGGACUCGCGGCUUAUCAGCUUGUUGGUGGGGUAGUGGCUUACCAAGGCUUUGACGGGUAGCCGGCCUGAGAGGGUGACCGGCCACAUUGGGACUGAGAUACGGCCCAGACUCCUACGGGAGGCAGCAGUGGGGAAUAUUGCACAAUGGGCGGAAGCCUGAUGCAGCAACGCCGCGUGCGGGAUGACGGCCUUCGGGUUGUAAACCGCUUUCGCCUGUGACGAAGCGUGAUUGACGGUAAUGGGUAAAGAAGCACCGGCUAACUACGUG
rnacentral:rRNA from 1 species